GCGGGAAUGGUGGAACUAGGUAGACACGCUAUCUUGAGGGGGUAGUGGGCAUAGCCCGUGAGGGUUCGAGUCCCUCUUCCCGCACCA
rnacentral:tRNA from 1 species